rnacentral:rRNA from 1 species
GCACAACGCGAAGAACCUUACCAGGGCUUGACAUGUAUUGUAACCCCGGUGAAAGCCGGGCAGCGUAGAAAUACGCGCUUUACACAGGUGCUGCAUGGCUGUCGUCAGCUCGUGUCGUGAGAUGUUGGGUUAAGUCCCGCAACGAGCGCAACCCUUAUGGUUUGUUGCCACUGGCUUCUGCCAAGCACUCAAAUCAGACUGCCCAGAUUAACUGGGAGGAAGGUGGGGAUGACGUCAAGUCCGUAUGGCCCUUACGUCCUGGGCUGCACACGUACUACAAUGCCCAGUACAGAGUGAACCGAGGCCGCGAGGCGAAGGAAAUCACCAAAACUGGGCUCAGUUCAGAUUGCAGGCUGCAACUCGCCUGCAUGAAGUCGGAAUCGCUAGUAAUGGCGCAUCAGCAACGGCGCCGUGAAUACGUUCCCGGGUCUUGUACACACCG